AGAAGAAUGGCUGCCAUCUCUAGUUUUCGAUUGAUGUUUUUCGUGGAGAUUGCGAAUUCUCUUGUUUAUCGCGGUAUUUAAUAACGUGAAACCAUAUUGCGCGACUCAGUGGCAUCGACUGCGAUGUAAGCGGUGUUCGUGCGCACGUUAUUUCGGCUGCCUUAGUGUCAUUUUCGUCAAAAAAUGUCUGUGUUUACAUCAGAGUUACGAACGAACUUCUGUAUUCCUGUCACAUUAAGCUUAUGGUCUACAGUCCUCAAAUAGCUGAAUCGAGGACUAGACUUGAGGCGAAGGUCGGGCGAAGAUAGCCGGUCGCGCUAGGACUGAUCGAGUUUCUAACUCGUUCUCGAGUUUUCACUUAGUGUGCUCCCGCAAGGCCACCAAAACGUCGACUCCGUCAGUAAUCAAGUUAUCGGGGGGUGGUACAGGUGACAGUGGGGAACAACUGUCCCCAGGGCCUGGCCCACCUCCCCCAGUAUCCUCUCCAUCGGGCAAUAGUAACGAUUGUAAUAGUAAGGAAAACAAGACGAGCGAUGCCGAUGCGAUGCAAAUCGCUGUUUCCGCGGCGACCGAAACUGCGAAAUCUGUACCUGAAAAAAUCGAACAAGAACGCGAGCAAGGCACUGAGGCCGCCGUGAGCUUUGUCCUGCAACUGGACGUGGAGGCAACUACCGCGGCGCCGGUAGCGGAAAAGGAAGAGAAGACCAGCAUCGGCAACGAGAAGCAACGACCAGUGCCGACGUUACUGUUCGCACGGGAUAUAUGGACUCCCGAGUCUGUGACGGUCGCUGCUACCGAUUCCGAUACAGCUACAAGUGGAAAUACCAUGGUGAUCACUAACAGUGGCGAUAUCAAUGCUGCGGUGCCCAUCACUGGCAGUAAACUGCAGUUGUCGCAGUGCAUGGAGCUGACGAGUAACUAUCGGCAGAUAGUUUCAACUGCAUCUGCUCUCCCGACAGUGAAAUCCAUGGUGACGUAUCCCGUCGCCAAGGGCACCAAGGAGCAGAUGCAGAAGAUGAUCGCUGGUUCGCAGACUAACACUACCCAAGUACUGACGACGCGCGUCAUUUCGCAGAAGUUACCGUCACCGUCUAGUAGCCAAGCGCAGCCUGUUCCAAUAACCGCUUUCAGUAUGUCGUCUCCGCAAACGUCUUUAUCAUCUUCUGGUAAUGGUGGUAUUACUUAUCCCUUGCAAACUACUAUAUGUACGCUACAGAGUGGUCAAUCGGCGAAGAAUCAGGAUUCAGCGAUUGGCGAACUCUUCCACGGUAAGCGACAGCAACAAGCAACGGCAACGAGUAACGUGCAAAGCACAUUACACAAGCUUCAACCGAUUCCCGUUCAGCAACACAUGAUCAAUACCGCUGCAACGGUAAAGACCAUUACUACGGCGCCGACAGUCUCGAAUCUUCAGAGAAUACAUGUGAAAGCGGCAUCGCCAAGCAUCGUCGCAGCUGGUCAAUCAGCGCAGACUGUAAAUCUGCAGAAAGUCAAAACUACCAUGACGAAUUUGAGCAGCAAUCAGCCUGUCGGAAUUGUGCAACGUAAUAAUUCUCUAUCCAAAAUACAAAGUGUACAGAAGUCGUUAACUGGUCAGAUUAAUCAAUUAUCAGUCAAUAAUCAGACGACUACAAACAAUGUGAAUAAUUCGCAAAAAAUUCAACAGAGUAAUCCGAUGAUGUUACAGAAAACGACGCAGUCUAUCCCAGCGACGCUUCAGUCUGUUUGCAGCCAGAAGGUACCGUCACUGAACAGUAAUCAUAAAUCGAAUCACAAAACGCAGCAACAAAAUUUGCAGAAGUUGCAAGGAGCUCAAAAGACAUUAGUGAUAACGAAGCAGCAACAGCAAUUGGCCGCACAACAAAUGAAUAAUAUCUCGAAAUCCAAUGGACCCGUUACCAAUGUACAAAAGACUCAAACGAUCGGACAACAACCUUCAACGAGCCAACAAAUGCAACCGUCACAUCAAAGACAAUCAGCGACAGCUGUAUUGCAAAAGUCUCAAACGUUGACAACGAUGCAAUCCGCUAAGCGGAUACAAUCUGCAACGAGUAAUGUUUGUAAGAGCAAUAGCGUACCAAACAUCUCCAACAAAAUAAUUCCGCAGAACUCAAAUGUGCUUACGAUCAACAAGCAACAGCAAAUAACAUCGCAACAGCAGCAGCAGCAGCAACAACAGUUGCAAUCUGCACAGCAACAACCAGUAAUACAAAAGUCGCAGAAUGUGAAUAAUUUGCAGGUUCAAAGAAGUCACAGUAUUACUAAUGUGCAUCAAAAAAAUAUUACAUCCAUGCCAAACAAUCAAAGGCUUCAAUCUGUGAUGAAUUCAAAGGUUCAGCAGCAGCAACAGCAACAAAUGAUGAUGAGAGUAGGCAUAUCAAAGGGUGGUUUAACGCAAGCUCCACAAAAUACGGUAGCUCUGGGGGUCCCGCAAAAAUUGGUAAACACUGUCAAGACUGCAAGCUCCAACUCACAGAGCGACACUGUUCAACAGUCUGUACAAAGAAACAGUAAUCCUGCUCAAGCUGUGAAGACCAUACAGCAACAACAGCAGCCACAGAAUGAGAUCGGUCAAUUGAACGCCCCGCAAAAGCAGCUUGGAUGCAUCAAGACUAUUCCGCCACAGAAACCUGUACAAAGAAAUCAUGUUCAGAAAGCCAGCGGCAUUAAAACCUCGAUGAACACGAAUACAACGUUAAUGAAAACUCAAAGUUCGGUCAUAGUGCCACAAGUAACACCACAGAAAACAAUCAUCAAGACUUUGCUACCACAGCAAACGCCAGCGGUAGCGACAGCAGCCGCAUCGUCCAGCAUAAUGGUUGCGCAUAAAACUUCACCAAUUAAAAUCCAGCAACAGCAGAUACAACAAAAGCAGCUGUUUAUGACGCCACAGUAUACGCAGCAGAUCAGGCAACAAACUGGCCAGAUAAAAACUCUAUUGCCGGUGACUCCAAUUGAACUUCGUAAAGAUCUUGUUGAGAACAAGAACGACGUUGAGCUUCAAAUGGCUAAAGAAGAGGAGCCAGGUGUUCCUAAAUCGCCAGUAAGGAGAAUGCCGCUUCCUUAUGAGUGCCUCCAAUUUGUUCUUCAAGACCAUAAUUAUGGAGCGCCACCACCGCGAACGCCAUCGCCUUCCUCACCACCGUCUCAUCCAAAGCAACAAACCAUUAAUGGAGCUGGCAGUUCCACAACUACUUUGCAGCAUCCUUAUAUUUUUGGUCCAGUUGUGAGCAAUACUAACGCGGAGGAUGACGCCGCCAGCGCAAUCAGUAGUGAAGCGGGACGAGAAGCGGAGCCAGAAGGCGAAGAAACUGAAACCGCACCUGAGGGUGAAGGCGACGAUGAGGACAGUGUUACUAGAUGCAUUUGUGAUUUUGAACAUGACGAUGGAUACAUGAUUUGUUGUGAUCGAUGCUUGGUAUGGCAGCACGUCGACUGCAUGGGCAUAGACCGUUCGAACAUUCCUGACGAGUAUCUUUGUGAGAGGUGUCGACCACGACGAGUCGAUCGACAGCGAGCCCGCGCUUUGCAAAUGCGUAAGCGCGAGGAGCUGCUCAACUCGGAUACGUCAUCUGAUACAUCGUCAACUAGUUCAGCAGACACGGACGUUGGUGUCAACAACAUUGCAACGCAAAAAAAGCGCUCGCUUUCGCAGCAACAAUCACAGGUCCCGAGACGCAACAAGUCCGACAUGGGAUCCGUUCAAACUGCGCAAGUUCGAAAAUUGAAUAACAAUAACAACGUUGCAAAACGACAAAGAAAGGACUCUCAUGCCAGACAAUCGAGUGCCGUUCGCAAGAAAGAGAAUGCCGCGCCAAAGCGAGGACCCGGAAAACGCAAAACCAAAAGGAGAAUGAGCGUUGAGGACAAGGAGGAGGACGUGCAAGAUGCCUGGAGCAGCAACAUGGCGCCUCUUCGACAGUGGAUCGAAAAAUACGAGGAAGCCGUAACAAAUCAUUACAGUCCUGAGUUGCGAGCCAGGAUAUCGAGCAUUAAAGUCAACGGAACCCACAGCGACCUUCGGCAAGCUAAUAUGAGUGUCAUCGCCACUGGUAAAUGUAGACUCAACGUGCAUAGUAAUAAUCUCAAAUUUUUAGUGGCAACGAUGUAUCUCUCACCGAACACCCCUGUCGUGGAAUUACGUGGCAAAUAUAUGCUCAGUACGCAACACCGACCACAACAUCCGCAAGGUAGCAGACAGCACGUUCAACGGCCGGGACCGUUCGUGUUUUUCUACCGUUUGCCGCGCGAUGGUACCGAGGUCUGCGUGGAUACGCGAACUUACGGCAACGACGCGAGAUUCGUACGGCGUAGUUGCAAGCCAAACGCCGAAGUGAAGCACUGCAUCGAGAAAGGCACGCUGCACCUGUACAUCGUGACAACGUGCGCGAUCGAGAAAAAUGCUGAGAUUACAAUCAAACACGAGCAGCACGAUCUGUUACUGUCGCCUAAUCUCAAUUCUCCCACGCUGCCCGUGGUCUGUGCGUGUAACAAUCCGCGAGAAUGCCAGAUCGCAGCGGCGAACCAGCUGAAUCGAAGAAGCAGCAAUGGUGCUCUCAUCGAAAACGCUGAUGGCAGGGAACGAAGACGGCGAGGUAGAAGAAAUACCACCUGCGAGGAGACAGAGUCUACGUCGCCGGUGGUUUCUACCAGCGUCACGCAAACUGUUACGACCGCGACACCGGUAUCUACAGUGACCACUGUGACACCGAAAAAGACAGUCACGACCACGAUUACCACUACGAUGGCCCGUCAGGUUCCCAAAGAGGAAGCCACCGCUGUGGUACAACCAAACGUACAGCCUCAGACAUCACUUAGUUUAAGUCAACCGACAGUGGUAACGCUAGAAACGAAGAAAGAUAAGAAGAAGAUGACGCGAGAAGAAAGGAAAAUGGAGGCGAUUAUGAAAGCUUUCGAGAGGUUGGAGAAGGCGGAGCAGAGGAAGCAAGAGGUCCAGGCGAGAAACGCACAGCGAAAAGAGUCCAGCGGCACACAUAGCGAUAACGAGGACAGUCACCCGACGACGACGGGACAGUCUAAGGGUGGUAAACAGACGAACAAUUCCGAGAGACCGUUACGACGAAAGAGAAGAAAAGGUCGUGCGAGGACGACGAGUUCGUCUCAGUCGCAAAGCAAUACUAACCGUAGAACGAGAUUGAACUCGGCUGACUCCGACGUGUCCUCCGGAGACGAGAGCAAUUCAGUGCAAUCGCCGCCAUUGUUAAAUCAAAAACGGCCAUCCAGCCGAGACGUUUCUUACUCGCAUUUGCAGGCAUCAGUCAAAAACGCAACAUCAAGCGACGGUACCAGCGACAACAUUGGAUCAUCAUCCGGUAAUCAGAGAAUUCCCACGGCAGCCGGUCUUUUAUUGGCUUUAGCGAAUUCAAACGCUCCUGGUCCUCCGAGUUCGCCGCCACUGUUACAGCCUACUCCCGUCAAAAGUCCCACUUGUGACAGUGGAGCCAGCAGCAGUUCGCAGAGUUCCACGCCAUCCACGCCGUUGUCGUCUACUUGUCUCCUGGUAGCCGCCGCGGUCGGUCCGCUAGCUCCUGGCUUUAAAUUCCCCAAGACGAAGAAGGUGUUGAUGAACGAGUGGCUAAAAGAGUCGCCCGAUCCGCCGCAAGCUGUACCUCAGGUGUCACCUGUGCCGGCGUUAUCGUCAACACCGAUCUUACCCAAUUCCAUGAAUUCAAUUUCGUUGUGCGGCAGAUCAGCAGAUUUUCCGUCUCUGUCGACAACAGAUCCGUCUGUAGAGUUUCUGUCGCAGAGUUACGCGGCCAAGAGUCUAGCGACCUUAGUGCAGGCUGCCAACUCGGUUGGUGGCAUAUGCGACUCACCACCGCAACAUAAACAGCAGCAGCAGCAUCAGGCGAUUGCUGUUUCCAGUAACAACAAUAACAACAACAACAACAGUGGUUGCAUCGCAGUGUCGACAGGUUCGGCGAAGAAGCGAUGGCUGCGUCAGGCAAUAUCGGAGGAAUGCGAGUCGCCUAACAGUCGACCGGAGAGCCCACCGUUGCUUAGUGAAAAAGUAGCACCACCCAAGAAGCGGAGAAUAGCUCGAGAGAGCCUGUCGUCAGAAAAUUAUACUCCACCAACAACGCCGACCAUGCUACUCUCGAGUGAGGCGGUACCCAACAGCAGAUCAUUGUGUCCUACCGAAGACGACUAUAUGGAAAACGCGCAGUCACCCGUUGUAGAACAAAAUGACGAGAAGCCUUACGAGUCGGAAUUUGCGAAGGAAGAAAUUAAUGUGGACGGGGAACGCAUGGAUUCCAACGAGUUAGUGGCUCGAGAGAAACUCUCAAUUAACAUUCCUCAAUCAGAUUUUUAUAUAAAGCGUAAGAAAAAGAGGGAACAUUUGGAUAACGUUAAAACAGAGGUAUCUUUUGUAGUGGAAACGGAGAAUGUCACAAUGAACGACGAAGUUUCUCCGAAGUGUGAAAAUAAACAGGAAGCUGAACUUAAUUUCAGCCCGUUACAGAUGGAUUCGAAAAUAUUUGCAAAAAUUCGGGAAGUUGUUGAAAGUAAAAUUGAUUUCGGAUUGAACGAUUCGGAUUUUUCUACGAACAAAGAGUCUUCCACGAAGAAGCAAGCUACCGAAGGUACGGUCGAGAUAAUUGAUCAGGACAAACCUAAUAUCGAGAUGGAAGAACUUAGCUCUCCUAGCGCCAUAAUGGAAUCUGACACGAUUCUGAAACAACGAGUGGCCGAGAUGCAGUUAGAAUUCGGUGGUGGCAUCAACGAGGUCGUGAAUGUCGCCAACAGUGAGGAUGAGAAAUCCGGCGAUAACAAAAAGGUGUCCGAAAUUGCUACGAGGUGUCGAGAGAUCGUCGAGAGAUCGGAUGAUAACAUAUCUAUUGACGAAUUCGACGUCGAGGCGCAGAUGAAAAAGAUCACGGGCGACGACGGUAACGAUUAUGAAGAACAGAUCGACACAAGUUUAGAAAAGGACAAGAGUAUAGACGGAAUAGAGGGUUUGAUGGAGAGCUCGAAAGAAGAUUCCGACUCUGAGGAUAAAGAUAUGGAUGACGAAAAGUAUUGCGAAUCUUCGUUCAAGUUGUUCAGUGUUAAUCACGAGAAGACACUGGUCAAAGAGUCGGAAUUGACUAAGCCGGAACAGAUCACUGUUGCGUUGGAAGAUAACGUGAAAGACACGAAUAAGAAUACGAGUGAUGAGCCUUUGAAAGAAAUAUCCAAGAUGGAAGAGUCGUUCAUUUUCGCGACGUUAUCAGAAGAGUCGAUUUUUGAAGCUGCAUCUUCGAACAUGGACGUGAAGCCCGUUGUAAAUUCUCCGAAAAUCUUUCAUUCGAUUGCACCGUUAAGUGAACGCAUUCGCAAGAAGCCCGAUCCUGCAGCUACGCCUAAAAUGCCAAAGAUGGAUUUUGAGGCAGCUAUUAUAGAAUCGACGAUAAAUAUGGACACGGCGGACGAAUCGAAAAACGGCGAGCAAAAGCUGAUAUUGUCGACCGCUUUACGCGAACUUUUGGAAGCGAAACUGGAUGACGUACCGUCUACGGCUACGGCCACGGUCGAAGUAAUGAAAAAUGACAUUGAUAAUGAAAUAAAUAUGCCGUCACAAGUAAUUAAACCAAUAUCAGACUCCUCUGAACGCAGCUUAGACUCGACUACGGUCCAAGACUCGACAAUGACUCGACAGGAAUCUCUGCCGAUUCCGGUGAAAGAGGAAGAGGUGCAACCGAAGGAGGUAAAACGGUUAAAAGAUCCAAGAACUGUCGUACCGAAUAAUAUGCCCGCACCGCCGACCGUUAAACCAGACGCUGUCCCUCCUGCCAAACGCAAGGUUAGAAAAUUGUCCAUUUCGGAAUAUCGCAAACGCAAACAACAAUCAUCGGUAUGCGCGGCAACCGAGCCCGAGUCAUUGAAUGAAGCUUCCACCGGAAAUAAAAGUGGAGCACGAGGUAGAUCGGACAGCGCCAGCAGCGGCACUUCUUCGCUCAGUUCCGACGAGGAGGGCUCCAAAAUGUCGCUGUCCCUCGAUUUACCGGGUCUUGCAACGUUAACGCCUUUCGCUAACGCCGUUGAGAACGACGAAAAGAAAGGUGAUAAUCACCACAUGGUGGAGAGGAAGGUGCAAUCGGUUGGUCAGCGGCACCAACUACAGUGGAACGACAACGAGAAAACCUUACCGAGAGAUUAAAACGGGAAUUUGGAUUGUUUCUCGGUGACGAAGAUGACGAGGAAAGAGUGCGUAAACAUGGUUUAACAGCUGAGGCGAUAAUGAAGGCGCAUAGAUCUCCACCUCACAGUUUGGUUGCUAGUACCCCCGCAGGAUAUCCUGGGUUGCCGCAGUUACCCCCUCAGCCGUAUAUACCGCCACCCGGUUCUGCGUCUAUUCAC
rnacentral:misc_RNA from 1 species